UACGUAGGGGGCAAGCGUUGUUCGGAUUUACUGGGCGUAAAGAGCGCGCAGGCGGUCGAUUAAGUCGAGUGUGAAAGCCCCCGGCUCAACUGGGGAGGGUCAUUCGAUACUGAUCGACUUGAAGGCAGGAGAGGGUAGUGGAAUUCCGGGUGUAGUGGUGAAAUGCGUAGAUAUCGGGAGGAACACCAGUGGCGAAGGCGACUUCCUGGCCUGUUCUUGACGCUGAGGCGCGAAAGCUGGGGGAGCAAACGGG
rnacentral:rRNA from 1 species